rnacentral:rRNA from 1 species
CAGCAGCCGCGGUAAUACGAAGGGUGCAAGCGUUAAUCGGAAUCACUGGGCGUAAAGCGCACGUAGGCGGCUUGGUAAGUUAGAGGUGAAAGCCUGGAGCUCAACUCCAGAAUUGCCUUUAAGACUGCCGAGCUAGCAGGUGAGAGAGGUAAGUGGAAUUCCGAGUGUAGAGGUGAAAUUCGUAGAUAUUCGGAAGAACACCAGUGGCGAAGGCGGCUUACUGGCUCAUACUGGACGCUGAGGUGCGAAAGCGUGGGGAGCAAACAGGAUUAGAUACCCCGGUAGUCCCUGUCUCUUAUAC